rnacentral:rRNA from 1 species
AUUGAACGCUGGCGGCAUGCUUUACACAUGCAAGUCGAACGGUAACAGGCCUUCGGGUGCUGACGAGUGGCGAACGGGUGAGUAAUGCAUCGGAACGUACCCAGAGGUGGGGGAUAACGCAGCGAAAGCUGUGCUAAUACCGCAUGUGAUCUGAGGAUGAAAGCGGGGGACCGAGCAGCAAUGUUUGGCCUCGCGCCUUUGGAGCGGCCGAUGUCGGAUUAGCUAGUUGGUGGGGUAAAGGCCUACCAAGGCGACGAUCCGUAGCUGGUCUGAGAGGACGACCAGCCACACUGGGACUGAGACACGGCCAAGACUCCUACGGGAGGCAGCAGUGGGGAAUUUUGGACAAUGGGCGCAAGCCUGAUCCAACAAUGCCGCGUGCGGGAAGAAGGCCUUCGGGUUGUAAACCGCUUUUGGCAGGAACGAAACGGUGUCCGCUAAUACCGGGCGCUAAUGACGGUACCUGCAGAAUAAGCACCGGCUAACUACGUG